rnacentral:lncRNA from 1 species
UUGUUAGAUAAUAUAGAGUAGUUAUUAUUAGUUAGUAGUAAGGGUAAUUUAGACUUUUCAAUUUACCUAUUUUCCUAGUAUAUAUUCUUAUUGUAAGACUAUGCAAUUAAGCAAUCUCAUUGUAAUAUUAUGAAACCCUAGUAGCCACUUUUAUCUUCUCUGCUUUGUAUCUUUGAUUCUAACAUGGUAUCGAGAGCUUGUUUCGAUCCUCCUUAAAUUGUGUAUUGUUAUUCGCUGCCGAGUUCCCAAUAGUUUGGGAAUGUGUUUGUUCUAUUGAGUUGUGUUGCUGC